GGGAGCCUACGGGGGGCAGCAGUGGGGAAUAUUGGACAAUGGGGGGAACCCUGAUCCAGCGACGCCGCGUGAGUGAAGAAGUAUUUCGGUAUGUAAAGCUCUAUCAGCAGGGAAGAAAGAAAUGACGGUACCUGACUAAGAAGCCCCGGCUAACUACGUGCCAGCAGCCGCGGUAAUACGUAGGGGGCAAGCGUUAUCCGGAUUUACUGGGUGUAAAGAGAGCGUAGACGGCAAUGCAAGUCUGGAGUGAAAGGCGGGGGCCCAACCCCCGGACUGCUCUGGAACCUGUAUAGCUGGAGUGCAGG
rnacentral:rRNA from 1 species